UGGUAUACACCGAGCUUGCCAGUGGUGUCCCGCACAUCUUCUCCCAUUUCAUCACCAAUCUACCAGCCAUCCACUCGGUUGUAGUUUUUUGGUGUGUCAAGGCUCUUCCCGCCAGCCAUCCACUCGGUUGUAGUUUUCGUGUGCGUCAAGUAUCUUCCCGUCUACACAGUCCUGGAAGAGGAACGGUUUCUGGUCAAGAGAAUCGGCCCCAAGAACUUCAGGAUGUUCAGGUGUGUGGCCAGGUACGGCUACAAGGACCUCCCCAAGAAAGAAGAAGAAUUUGAGAAGAAGCUAUUCGACAGUCUCUACCUCUUUGUUCGGCUCGAGUCCAUGAUGGAAGGAUGCUCGGAUUCCGACGAGUACAGCUUGUACGGCCAACAAAACGAACGUUCAAGGGAUGUGAGCUCACUCGAGGAUCCGACAAUGUCGUCCAAUGAUUCGAUAGUGCAGGUGGUGAAGCCAUUAUCGGUGUACCGGACAAAUGGGUCGUCUGGGCAGACGAGUAGCCACACGGAGGUCGAUGAGGUGGAGUUUUUGCACGGAUGUCGAGAUGCCGGAGUUGUACAUAUCAUGGGGAACACCGUUGUGAGAGCUAGGAGGGAGUCGAGGUUUUACAAGAAGAUAGCGGUUGAUUACAUAUAUGCAUUCCUUAGGAAGAUAUGUCGAGAGCACAGUGUGAUAUUCAAUAUCCCUCACGAGAGCCUCUUGAACGUUGGCCAGAUCUUCUAUGUCUAAUGAUUCUUUCUUUCAUUUUGCCGUGCGAUUGAGUAAAAUCAUAAAAAUAAAAAACUUGUCUUUAUCUUCCAUUUUUGUUCCUUUUUUUAAGUGUUCCAUUUUUGGUUCUUUUUUAUUUAUUUAUUUAGUCUUUUUUAAGCUUUAAGCAGUCAAAGUCUGUUUCUUUGGUUCCAAAUUUAGCAAUUGAUUUGAUUGGCUGUCUCUAAACUUUUUCUUCUGGGUCGUUACUUUCUUCUGAAAAUUUUCUCUCUCACUGUAACAAUGCCAUGUUUUCUCUCCAUCAAGCAAGGGUUUCCAGAAACAGAAAGCCAAACUUUCUUUUUUACUUUUAUACUGAUUGAUAUCUGCUGUGAAGUGGUGUUAAAGAUAUCUGUUUAGAGAGGCAAUGGCUGCAAAUGGCGAUGAGGCAGCCAACAAAAAUGGCAGAUUGUGGGCACUUGAUCAACAGUUCGAUCAGCCGAUGGAUGUGGAAGCUGAUUGCAUCAAGCCCCAGAAUGACGAAUCGGUUAGUCAUAUUUCAAAAGCUUCUUUCUUUCUCCUCAUUGACAAUGGACUUUGCUGAUACAAGGGGAAUAUGAAUUCAUUCUCUCUUCAUAUUUGGUCUGCAGAAGCCUUCCACAUUCGUGCUCUUGAGGCUGGCUUUCCAAAGCCUUGGAAUUGUGUAUGGAGAUUUAGGCACCUCUCCAUUGUAUGUGUUCUACAACACAUUCCCGAACGGGAUUGAGGAUCCGGAAGAUGUGGUUGGUGCUCUAUCGUUCAUCAUUUACUCCCUUGCUCUCAUUCCUCUGGUGAAGUAUCUCUUCAUUGUUUCUAGAGCAACUGACAAUGGUCAAGGUAGAGGCCUAACCUUUUCCCCAUGUCCAUCAACUGAAAACAAUUUAUAACUCCAAUGCUGCUGAAAAGUUGGUACCUUAACCAAUUUGUAGGUGGGACUUUUGCUCUUUAUUCACUACUGUGUAGGCAUGCCAAAAUAAGGACGAUACCGAACCAAGAUCAUACCGACGAAAGGCUGAGGACGUACAGCACCUCUACUUUCCACGAAAAGUCGUUUGCUGCAAAGACAAAGAGGUGGCUCGAGAGAUAUUCGUAUACAAAGAACGGACUUCUUAUUCUUGUUAUUAUCGGCUCUUCCAUGUUGAUCGGAGAUGGGGUUGUCAUACCUUGCAUUUCAGGUUUUCACCUUAAAUGCUAUUAAGAGAUAACCGAAAUGUGGUCUUGGACCUCUUGGUCUAGUUACAUUUGAAAACUUGGGUUGGUUAUUGUUGUUUCGGCAGUUGUGUCAGCUCUUAAUGGAAUCAAGCUAAGUCAUCAUCAUCGGAUGAGUCAGGGUAAUACUACACUCCUUACUCUUUGAUAAUUUGUUCAAUUGAAGCCAAUCUCUUCCCUAUUGUACGAUUGCUUCUCCCAUUGUUGAAGUCCGAAAUUUUUUCUCCUACUACUACUUACAGAAGUCACCAUGGGAUUCUCGGUUGUCAUAUUAGUAGCUUUGUUUUGGUUGCAACGGUUUGGGACAGAGAAAGUUAGCUGGCUGUUUGCACCAAUCCUACUGGUUUGGUUCCUUUCGAUUGGAGGAAUUGGCAUAUUCAACAUCGUGAAGUAUGGUACCCAAGCCUUGAAAGCAUUUUCGCCUGUGUAUAUGUAUCGCGCUUUUAAUGGGAACCAUAAGGAUGCUUGGCUAUCUCUUGGAGGUGUCAUGCUUAGUAUAGCUGGUAAAAACUACUAGUCACAUUGUUCUCUUACCUCAACUAGUUUGCCAAGAUUCCAGCUUUUCUAACAUCUCCAUGUUCGAUGACAGGAUCGGAGGCUCUCUUUGCUGAUAUAUCCAACUUUUCAGUCUCAGCCAUCCAAAUUGCUUUCGUUGUUGUGGUAUUUCCAUGUCUUCUACUGUCGUAUUCGGGCCAGGCAGCAUAUCUUAUGAAACACUCGGAUCGCGUAGGUGAUGCAUUUUAUAGUUCCAUUCCAGGUUUGUUUGGCCUUAAACUCUCAUAAUGUCUGAAUAUCUUUAGUUGGUAACCAAGUUCUUUCAAUGGAGUCUGUGGUAGUUAAUUUGUUUCUGUCGUUUAAAAAUGCACCUAGAUAGCGUGUACUGGGCUAUGACGGUUAUUGCAACAGCUGCUGCUAUUGUUGCUUGUCAGACCACCAUAUCAGCAACCUUCUCCCUGGUUAAGCAAGCUCUAGCUCUCGAUUGCUUCCCACGAGUUAAAGUCGUGCACACCUCGAAGAGGUUGAGUACAGAUAUUUACAUACCGGAGAUCAAUUGGAUCCUCAUGGUUCUCUGCAUUGCCGUCACAGUUGGCUUCAAGAACCAGAUCCACAUUGGAAAUGCAUCAGGUAAACAAACUUAUAUGCCUGUUUAAUUAUCUCGUUCAGUUGGCUUCUAGAUUUUGUUGCUGAAUCUCAGAACUUUGUUUUGUUGUUGUUAUUGUUUGUUGAGAAUAGGUACUGCAGUAGUGGUAGUCACCCUAGUGACGACAUUGUUGGUGACCUUGAUCAUGAUACUAGUCUGGAGGUGCCAUUGGAUAUUUGUUCUCCUAUUUGCAGCUUUCUUCUUCCUGAUAGAAGGAACUUACUUCUGUUCCAUAAUACUCAAAGUCCAACAAGGCGGUUGGGUCCCUCUAGUCAUAGCAGCAUGCUGUUUUGUAGCCAUGUACGGGUGGCACUACGGGAGGCAGAAGUGCUACGAGUUCGAGAUCCACGGUAAAGUAUCGAUGGCAUGGCUAGUCGGCUUAGGACCGAGCCUGGGACUCGUUCGAGUCCCAGGCAUCGGCCUAGUGUACACGAAACUCGUGAGCGGAGUGCCACACAUCUUCUCCCACUUCAUCACCAACUUGCCUGCUAUCCACUCCGUUGUAAUCUUCAUCUGCAUCAAGUACCUCCCGGUAUGCACAGUCCCGCAGGAGGAAAGAUUCCUCGUCAAGAGAAUCGGCCCCAAGGACUUCCACAUGUUCCGUUGCGUGGCGAGGUACGGGUACAAGGACCUCCACAAGAAAGACGAUGACUUCGAGAGCAAGCUAUUCGAAAGCAUCUUCAGAUUCGUCAGGCUUGAUUCGAUGAUGGACAUGGAAUACUCGGAUGAUGACUACAGCUUCGAUGAGAACGAUUUCAACGGUACCGAUGGGGAUACAAC
rnacentral:lncRNA from 1 species